ensembl:lncRNA
GCCAAGAAGGAGACUCAGGUUUGCUCCCAGGAUUGGGAAGAUCCUCUGGUGGAGAAGGAAACAGCAACCCACUCCAGUAUUCUUGCCUGGGAAAUGCCAUGGACAGAGGAGCCUGGUGGGCUAUGGUUCAUGGGGUUGCAAAGAGUCAGACACGACUUAGCAACUGAGCAUGGACGCACUUUCUGUUAGAGCUUAAGACAUUGCCUUGCUCUGGAUUUACAGAAGACAUCAGCUCUGAGAUCUUUGAAACGUCACAUGUUAUUUUCUAUAUUUAGUGGUGUUUCUGGUUUUAUAGGUAUGUGAUAAACAAAGGAGGAGAAGGGGAUGACAGAGGACAAGAUGGUUGGAUGGCAUCACUACUCGAUGGACAUGAAUUUGAUCAAGCUCCAGGAGUUGGUGAUGGACAGGGAAGCCUGGCAUGUUGCAGUCCAUGGGGAAGCAAAAAGUCAGACACGACUGAGCGACUGAACUGAACUGAACUGAAACAAAGGAUGGAACUACUUUUCUUAUCUCUGAUGACUCUCCUAGGUUGUUACCAGAAAUCUCUCUCUGAAACACAAAUACGAUCAUGGUCCUCUCU